UGUUGCAGCUUGUGUCAAGCUCUGCACUAACUUAAAUGACAGUAUCACCAUACUGCACUUUUUAUAGAUUUGUGUUGGGGGUUCUUAUUUCCCCUUAUGAUCAGAAAUUAUGCAAAUGGGACUGAAGGGCCUGGGACUAUGUAAACUCCUGUCAGUGGCCUUUUGAAAGCAACACUGUGUCAAAAUUGCUUCAGUCGUGGCUGAAUUAACAAAGGUGCAUCAAUAUGGUAGCGAUGGCCGCCUGACUGUGGCUAAAUUGAUGCAGCUGUAAUUUUUGGUGAGUGGACUUGGGUUUUCUCUGCGUGUAGUGGAAUGAUACACAGGGUCGUCAAAGUCAGAAAGUAGCCUUACAGAUAUGAUGUAAAUAUUGAGUUUAUAUAUAAUUACUUUCUGUAGAUAUACCUUAAUUUAAUUUAUUCUAUUGUUUGUCUAAAUUUGAUCUCACCAUUGUUUAUGCGCUCUGUCGUCACAGUCAAUGUCAUAUAAAAUCCAUUAAGUCUUUUUAUUUACUGUACAAGUUGUUGUGUCCUCCAAUCAUUGCGAAAUAGAACAUCAUCACUGCCAGCUAUCUUUGUGACCUCACCAACUGAAAUUUGGCCUAGGUAGUUUAACAGAAACAAAUGUAUAUAUGCAGGGCAUUAACUGUGUUACAUUAAUGGAACAGAUUGCACAAGCCCAUCUCUCUCUACAUUUUAUUUUAUUUGCAUAAAGG